GGGAGCGUAGCUCAAUGGUUAGAGCGUUCGCUCAGCAAGCGAGAGGUACCGGGAUCAAAACCCGGCGCUCCCA